UCCCUGGAGGACUAGUGGUUAGGCCACAGCGCUCUCACCGCUGCAGGCUGAGUUUGAUUCCUAGCUAUGGAA
rnacentral:tRNA from 1 species